rnacentral:rRNA from 1 species
AAAUAGAACUUUGCAGAGAGAGUUAAGAGGGCGUGAACCGUUAAUGGCAAACGAAUCGGAGCCACGAAGUCGUUUCGCUGAUAGUUGGCUCAAGUUCAGCUUAGGUACGCAUGUGCCUAGGUGCAUUCUUGUGGCUAACCCUCGAUGUAAGCGUACACUGCAACCAGUUAGACGAUUGGCGGUGGAAACAGUGGCCUUGUGCUUGCGCAAGCUAGUGCUCGGUUACGAUUCAUUUGUUUGUCGCGGGAUGUAGUAGUUCGGCUCCAUGAAUUUGGAUGUCCUUAUUGCUGGCUCGUGUGCAAGAGAACUACCACCAAAUACUGACUGGCAAAAUGAAAAUCGCCUAGCGGCGUUUUGAAAAAGAGCGGUCUUCAGCGCGUACUGUUACACGUUUGACGUGUAUGUUAAAGUUCGGUAUUUUUGAAUUUGGACUUGCUUGCUACCAAUGGGGUAACUCUUGGUGCUUGUAUAGCUUUCAUCUAAUCGAGUAUCGACUUUGCAUGCGCUAGUUUAAACGUGAAUCGUUAGAUGGUGCGCGUUAGUUGACUUGCAACUAUUGGCAGUGAGUAGGUCGGCUUUCCGAACGACCCGUCUUGAAACACGGACCAAGGAGUCUAAUUAGGCAUCAGUCGAUCGGUCUUGAAUAGGCCAGACUGGGAAUACUUGUAUUCUCGAUUGAAGGCGUAGAGAAAUCAAAUUUCAUGUGAUCUUGUGGCAAAUUCCAUGCUGCAAGCGCAACAUGUGCCUGCUCGUAUGCCAUUGCAGCAAUGCAUGGCGGGCGGAGUAAAGAGAUGUUUGACUGGUACCCGAAAGAUGGUGAACUAUGCUUGGGCAAAUUGAAGCCAGAGGAAACUCUGGUGGAGGAUUGUAGCGAUUCUGACGUGCAAAUCGAUCGUCAGACCUGAGUAUAGGGGCGAAAGACUAAUCGAACCAUC